AUUGAACGCUGGCGGCAGGCCUAACACAUGCAAGUCGAACGGUAACAGGAAGAAGCUUGCUUCUUUGCUGACGAGUGGCGGACGGGUGAGUAAUGUCUGGGAAACUGCCUGAUGGAGGGGGAUAACUACUGGAAACGGUAGCUAAUACCGCAUAACGUCGCAAGACCAAAGAGGGGGACCUUCGGGCCUCUUGCCAUCGGAUGUGCCCAGAUGGGAUUAGCUAGUAGGUGGGGUAACGGCUCACCUAGGCGACGAUCCCUAGCUGGUCUGAGAGGAUGACCAGCCACACUGGAACUGAGACACGGUCCAGACUCCUACGGGAGGCAGCAGUGGGGAAUAUUGCACAAUGGGCGCAAGCCUGAUGCAGCCAUGCCGCGUGUAUGAAGAAGGCCUUCGGGUUGUAAAGUACUUUCAGCGGGGAGGAAGGGAGUAAAGUUAAUACCUUUACUCAUUGACGUUACACGCAGAAGAAGCACCGGCUAACUCCGUG
rnacentral:rRNA from 1 species